rnacentral:rRNA from 1 species
CGGAAGAUGAGGUGCUUGCGCCUUAUCUUAGCGGCGGACGGGUGUAGUAAUGCUUAGGAAUCUGCCUAUUAGUGGGGGACAACAUUCCGAAAGGAAUGCUAAUACCGCAUACGUCCUACGGGAGAAAGCAGGGGAUCUUCGGACCUUGCGCUAAUAGAUGAGCCUAAGUCGGAUUAGCUAGUUGGUGGGGUAAAGGCCUACCAAGGCGACGAUCUGUAGCGGGUCUGAGAGGAUGAUCCGCCACACUGGGACUGAGACACGGCCCAGACUCCUACGGGAGGCAGCAGUGGGGAAUAUUGGACAAUGGGGGGAACCCUGAUCCAGCCAUGCCGCGUGUGUGAAGAAGGCCUUAUGGUUGUAAAGCACUUUAAGCGAGGAGGAGGCUACUGAGACUAAUACUCUUGGAUAGUGGACGUUACUCGCAGAAUAAGCACCGGCUAACUCUGUGCCAGCAGCCGCGGUAAUACAGAGGGUGCGAGCGUUAAUCGGAUUUACUGGGCGUAAAGCGUGCGUAGGCGGCUUUUUAAGUCGGAUGUGAAAUCCCCGAGCUUAACUUGGGAAUUGCAUUCGAUACUGGGAAGCUAGAGUAUGGGAGAGGAUGGUAGAAUUCCAGGUGUAGCGGUGAAAUGCGUAGAGAUCUGGAGGAAUACCGAUGGCGAAGCAGCCAUCUGGCCUAUACUGACGCUGAGGUACGAAAGCAUGGGAGCAAACAGGAUUAGAUACCCUGGUAGUCCUGCCGAAACGAUGUCUACUAACCGUUGGGGCCCUUUGAGGCUUUA